rnacentral:rRNA from 1 species
GACAGAGGGUGCAAGCGUUGUUCGGAUUUAUUGGGCGUAAAGAGCGCGUAGGCGGCUUGGUAAGUCGAAUGUGAAAGCCCAAAGCUCAACUUUGGAAGUGCAUUCGAUACUGCCUCGCUUGAGUUCCGGAGAGGGUGGUGGAAUUCCCAGUGUAGAGGUGAAAUUCGUAGAUAUUGGGAGGAACACCAGUGGCGAAGGCGACCACCUGGACUGAUACUGACACUGAGGUGCGAAAGCGUGGGGAGCAAACAGG